GUUGGAUUGGCCUAGUGGUAAGGCGUUGGUCUCCGAAGCCAAAGAUCGCGGGUUCGAUCCCCGCAUUCAACG
rnacentral:tRNA from 1 species